ACUGGGCUCUCCAGUGAUAAUGUCCUGUGGUUGCAGCUGGCCAGGCCUGCCCAGGGAGGGGACCUCCGGAUAUCGCCACCCCACCUCAGCCGCCCCCCCCACCAAGAACAGCCGCCAAUGGGACGAGAACAGCGGGACCCUGGGGUCCGGUGCUCAUCAGCUAAGCAGAACUGGAGUGUGAAAUCCAGGCUGAACCUGCCGAAUUGUGCCUGCGAAGGCUAUUCAGAGAGACCGUUCUUGGAAGAAGAUCAGGACAAUUAGCUCUUGGCUGCGGGUAGAGGGGGAAGCGAGCUAAUCAUGGUGCCUCCUUGGACUUCAGGUCCCACGCAAGUUCACGCCCCAGCUUUGUGUCUCCUGAGCUCUGGGACCUUAGCGAUGCUCUUUGGGCUGAGUCGCUGUUGCCUACUACCUUCCAGCACCCGGUGGGCUGACCCCGGGGAGGCGGCAAUCUCUCGUUGUCACUGCUCAGCAUCAGGAAACGAGGGUCCAUGUUUAUUUUUGAGAGAGAGACAGAGCAU